rnacentral:rRNA from 1 species
AGCAGNGAAACCGUAGAGGCGGAGCGAAUCNCAAAACCCGGUACUCAGUUCAGAUUGCAGGCUGCAACUCGCCUGCAUGAAGUUGGAAUUGCUAGUAAUCGCGAAUCAGCCACGGCGCGGUGAAUACGUUCCCGGGCCUUGUACACACCGCCCGUCAAGCCAUGGGAGCCGGGGGUACCUGAAGUGCGUGACCGCAAGGAGCGCCCUAAGGUAAAACCGGUGACUGGGGCUAAGUCGUAACAAGGUAGC